rnacentral:rRNA from 1 species
UACGUAGGGGGCGAGCGUUGUCCGGAUUUAUUGGGCGUAAAGAGCGUGUAGGCGGCCAGGUAGGUCUGCUGUGAAAACUCGAGGCUCAACCUCGAGACGUCGGCGGAAACCAUCUGGCUAGAGUCCGGAAGAGGAGAGUGGAAUUCCCGGUGUAGCGGUGAAAUGCGCAGAUAUCGGGAAGAACACCCGUGGCGAAGGCGGUUCUCUGGGACGGUACUGACGCUGAGACGCGAAAGCGUGGGGAGCGAACAGG